AGCCUGGGCAACCGCGGCUCGGGCAGUCGGGACUAGUCCGCUGAGGGGUGGGGGUGGGGAGCGUUGGGCUCGCGACCCACCAGUCCAGGCUCUUUUCCACCGCCUCCGAGCAGCCCAAAGGAGGGGUCGCCCGACGUUCGCUUGAUUGGCAGGGGGCGCAGCGAGUUAGCGGAGCCCGCAAUUCCUGGGAUCCCUACCUUUUCCUUUCUCAAGGGAGUUGAAGUAAAAAUGGAAGAAACAGACUUUGAAAAGUGUGUGCAGAAGAAUGAUAAAACUGACAAGUAUCUACAAUUCUACUGUGUCCGAAUAUGGCCUGGAAAUUGAGGGGAUGCCCAUCAAUUGGGGAAGG